rnacentral:tRNA from 1 species
GUCUCCAUAGCUCAGUGGUAGAGCAUGCGAUUGCAGAUCGCAGGGACAGGUGUUCAAACCACCUUGGGGACU